rnacentral:rRNA from 1 species
AGUGCUUAAGCAGGCUCAUUCGCCUGAAUAUUGUGUGCAUGGAAUAAUGGAAUAGGACCUCGGUUCUAUUUUGUUGGUUUUCGGAAUUCCGAGGUAAUGAUUAAUAGGGACAACUGGGGGCAUUCGUAUUGCGACGUUAGAGGUGAAAUUCUUGGAUCGUCGCAAGACGGACAGAAGCGAAAGCAUUUGCCAAAUGUGUUUUCAUCAAUCAAGAACGAAAGUUAGAGGUUCGAAGGCGAUCAGAUACCGCCCUAGUUCUAACCAUAAACGAUGCCAGCUAGCGAUCCGCCGAAGUUCCUCCGAUGACUCGGCGGGCAGCUUCCGGGAAACCAAAGCUUUUGGGUUCCGGGGGAAGUAUGGUUGCAAAGCUGAAACUUAAAGGAAUUGACGGAAGGGCACUACAAGGAGUGGAGCCUGCGGCUUAAUUUGACUCAACACGGGAAACCUCACCAGGUCCGGACACCGGAAGGAUUGACAGAUUGAGAGCUCUUUCUUGAUUCGGUGGGUGGUGGUGCAUGGCCGUUCUUAGUUGGUGGAGCGAUUUGUCUGGUUAAUUCUGAUAACGAACGAGACUCUAGCCUGCUAAAUAGGCGUACUUUCCGGUAUCGCAAAGACCCUCCGCUUCGGCUUCGGUCGUUGUUGGUUGUGGUUCUUACUACCGGCGUACAAAUAUAUCUUCUUAGAGGGACAGGUGGCAUUUAGUCGCACGAAAUUGAGCAAUAACAGGUCUGUGAUGCCCUUAGAUGUUCUGGCCCCCCCACGACA